CAGUAACCUUUUUUCCUCUGGGGUUUUGGCGGAUAAAGGAUACACAUAGAAAUUCAUGGAGAUAAGAGAAAUGAGUAUGAAUCUUAUUUUUUGUAUGAGUCCAAUUAUUGCCCAAAGACUGGAAACAAUGUGCUUUUUCCAAGACACAACUGGAUACCCAGAGAUUCACUUGGCAAACAUUUUCCACUCAUCUUGUUAUUCUAUGGAAGUUUCUCUGUAGAUUGAAAAGCAAGCAAGCAAGCAAACAAGCAAAUUAGUGCAAAGGCUUUUGGACCACCCUUUUCUAUAGAUGGUUUG
rnacentral:lncRNA from 1 species